rnacentral:misc_RNA from 1 species
GAAGUGCGAUAAGUAGUGUGAAUUGCAGAAUUCAGUGAAUCAUCGAAUCUUUGAACGCACAUUGCGCCCUUUGGUAUUCCUUAGGGCAUGCCUGUUCGAGCGUCAUCUAAACCUUCAAGCCCUGCUUGGUGUUGGGUGCCUGUCCCGCCUCCGCGCGCGGACUCACCUCAAAUCCAUUGGCGGCCCCCGCGUCGGCCACGAGCGCAGCAGAAACGCGAACUCGUGAGCCCGUCCGGGCGGCUCCCAGAAGCUACACCCACCCAGUUUGACCUCGGAUCAGGUAGGGAUACCCGCUGAACUUAAGC